AGUGAACGCUGGCGGUAGGCCUAACACAUGCAAGUCGAACGGCAGCACAGUAAGAGCUUGCUCUUACGGGUGGCGAGUGGCGGACGGGUGAGGAAUACAUCGGAAUCUACUUUUUCGUGGGGGUUAACGUAGGGAAACUUACGCUAAUACCGCAUACGACCUACGGGUGAAAGCAGGGGAUCUUCGGACCUUGCGCGAUUGAAUGAGCCGAUGUCGGAUUAGCUAGUUGGCGGGGUAAAGGCCCACCAAGGCGACGAUCCGUAGCUGGUCUGAGAGGAUGAUCAGCCACACUGGAACUGAGACACGGGCCAGACUCCUACGGGAGGCAGCAGUGGGGAAUAUUGGACAAUGGGCGCAAGCCUGAUCCAGCCAUACCGCGUGGGUGAAGAAGGCCUUCGGGUUGUAAAGCCCUUUUGUUGGGAAAGAAAAGCAGCAGGUUAAUACCCCGCUGUUCUGACGGUACCCAAAGAAUAAGCACCGGCUAACUUCGUG
rnacentral:rRNA from 1 species